rnacentral:rRNA from 1 species
AUCGCCCUUCGGGGCGCCCGCCGUUCGCUUUAUUUUUCAUGCGGGAAGCCGUGAUCCGGGGACACCGAGUGCCAGCAUCAUAUGCUGGCUGUCCAGGUGUGUAAAAUACACCUGUUAGCAAGGGCCGGGCAAGACCGGUGCCAGCCGCCGCGGUAACACCGGCGGCCCGAGUGGUGAUCGUGAUUAUUGGGUCUAAAGGGUCCGUAGCCGGUUUGGUCAGUCCUCCGGGAAAUCUGACGGCUCAACCGUUAGGCUUUCGGGGGAUACUGCCAGGCUUGGAACCGGGAGAGGUAAGAGGUACUACAGGGGUAGGAGUGAAAUCUUGUAAUCCCUGUGAGACCACCUGUGGCGAAGGCGUCUUACCAGAACGGGUUCGACGGUGAGGGACGAAAGCUGGGGGCACGAACCGGAUUAGAUACCCGGGUAGUCCCAGCCGUAAACGAUGCUCGCUAGGUGUCAGGCAUGGCGCGACCGUGUCUGGUGCCGCAGGGAAGCCGUGAAGCGAGCCACCUGGGAAGUACGGCCGCAAGGCUGAAACUUAAAGGAAUUGGCGGGGGAGCAC